UGAGGAAUAUUGGUCAAUGGGCGAGAGCCUGAACCAGCCAAGUAGCGUGAAGGAUGACUGCCCUAUGGGUUGUAAACUUCUUUUAUAAGGGAAUAAAGUGAGGGACGUGUCCCUUUUUGUAUGUACCUUAUGAAUAAGGAUCGGCUAACUCCGUGCCAGCAGCCGCGGUAGUACGGAGGAUCCGAGCGUUAUCCGGAUUUAUUGGGUUUAAAGGGAGCGUAGGUUGACAUAUAAGUCAGCUGUGAAAGUUUACGGCUCAACCGUGAAAUUGCAGUUGAUACUGUAUGUCUUGAGUGUACAAGAGGUGGGCGGAAUUCGUGGUGUAGCGGUGAAAUGCUUAGAUAUCACGAAGAACUCCAAUUGCGAAGGCAGCUCACUGGGGUACAACUGACACUGAGGCUCGAAAGUGUGGGUAUCAAACA
rnacentral:rRNA from 1 species